AUGGAAACCAAUGGACCACCAGGGAAGUCCAAUGCCUCACUUCUUAAGUGUUUCGCAAGAUGUGGCCCCCAGACCACCUGCCUCUCAUGGGCUGAAAGUGCCUGUAAGAAAUGAAGCUUCUCUAAAUGCAGUGUGGAAUCCUGGAACAGAUAAAGAACAUUAGUGGAAAAUCUGGUGAAAUCCAAAUGAAGUCCGGAGUUAACAGUAAGUGAAUCAAUCACAGGAUCAGCAGGAGGACCUAUGAAGUAUA